AUUGAACGCUGGCGGCAGGCCUAACACAUGCAAGUCGAGCGAUCGGCGGACGGGUGAGUAAUGUCGGGGAAACUGCCUGAUGGAGGGGGAUAACUACUGGAAACGGUAGCUAAUACCGCAUACCAUCAGAUGUGCCCAGAUGGGAUUAGCUAGUAGGUGGGGUAACGGCUCACCUAGGCGACGAUCCCUAGCUGGUCUGAGAGGAUGACAAGCCACACUGGAAAUGAGACACGGUCCAGACUCCUACGGGAGGCAGCCGUGGGGAAUAUUGCACAAUGGGCGCAGGCCUGAGGAAGCCAUGCCGCGUGUGGGAAGAGGGCCUUCGGGUUGUAAAGCACUUUCAGCGGGGAGGCGUUACCCGCAGAAGAAGCACCGGCUAACUCCGUGCCAGCCGCCGCGGUAAUAC
rnacentral:rRNA from 1 species